CUCCCUGUGGGUAGAGGCGGUCGCAGCGCGAGCAACGACGAACUUGCCGAGUUGGCCCUGAUGAAGCAAUACAGCAUCGACAAGGUCCUCCCUACCCUCACCUCGGCAUCAGGCCGCCAGGGCUCGUCUUGCCUGGCCUCACCGGGACGCCACUCCGUGGUGGCGCCCGCCGCCACGCCCACGCAAGGUUCAAUUGAUGACAUAUCAGGGUACGCACUGUUUCCAGAUACCCAAAUAAAGUCCAGAAUAGUGCUAAAGAAAACUCAGGAACAACCUGUAGCCAAUACUAAAACGAAGAAACUAUUUUCAAUAUACAACCUCGCUGACAACGAUGUAACACUGAGGCCCCUAUAGUGGCCAUGCGCACUGCCGCCGCAGGAUGGCCAUAGAGGGAAUAGCCCCUGUACAUAACUUCAUCGAUGUACCUGAACAAAGGGACCAAGCAGUUGACUUUGAUGUACCUCUUCCAGAUGCCUUACAACGAGCAAAAUCUAUGCAUUACGACCUCCAUAUCUCAUCACUCACCCCCCACGUUUAACCUAUGCACGGAGAGGCCUGCAACAAUUGGAAGUAAGAUUGCAAAAUGGCUACAGGCUACCCGGCCCAAGAAACAUGGCUUUGUGUUUUUUUUUUUUACAUGGAGCUCGACGACUUGGGUGAAACUUGCAGUAGUGGUUCGUUCUAUUGGAUCCAGGAGAUGAAGCAAUACGUAACAGCCUGAGCAACGGGGAGAUAUGCCGCAGGUUUAAAAGUGCCCAAUCCGCAGCCAGAGCUUCCGACGUAUUUUUGUAAACCCAAUAAAUUGUGCAUCAUUG